AUUAAGAAGAUGCAUUAUUUGCAUCCUUCCCUUUCAAGCUCGUAGAAUGUAUCUAUCCUUCUGUGCCCCUCAAUCACCAACAGGUGCCAAGGUGGUGGAAGAUGAGAGAUUGCCAGAAAGGUACAAAGGUAAUAUACGCAAUUUAUGCAAUGGCCAGAAUGGAGAGCAUAUGGCUUCAAGGUCAAGGUCAAAGUCAAAGUUAAAGUCAAAGUCAAAAUCAAAGUCGCUUCAUUUCUAAGUCUGCAUACAAGUUCGCUGCUUGGGCAAAGACUUUCCAUACUAUCAGAUGAAAUACGCCGCCGCCAUCAUUGUCAUUCUUCCCCUACACCGCCCUGUUCUCCCUAAACUCUCUCUCUCUUUAAGCAUGGCUUCGAUAUAUGCUUCGCAAGAGUCACCCUUCUCCACUUCUUAAAUAAUUUUUUUCUUUUAAAUAAAAAGUUCAGCGCAAUAAGGUGGAACAGGUAAAAAAUAUAAAUUAUUAGGUAAUAAAAUAAAAAAUUAAACUGUAGUUAUUUUUAGCAUUGCCAUCAAUAAUUAGAAUAAUCAAAAUCAGCUUAUUUUUUGUAACUCUUAAUCGACUUGUUGAUAAUUUUCGCAACAGAGUAUUCUAGAUAAUAGCACAAAUUCCAUUAAUGGACAAUAAUCUGAUAAACCUGUUUGUCCACCCUUAAGCCGUGUCUUAAAAAACUUUUCAAUCUUUUACGCUAAUAAACACCCGAUCAAUGCGACUACACAAUUGGCCCCUAAACCAAGUAAUUAAACUUACGAUCAUUCAUCUCUAAAUCCACCAACUCUAUAUCUUGUAUUCAGUUUAAAAUCUGCUGCUACUACUGUUAAUGUACUAGCUCCUUUACUCUUA